rnacentral:misc_RNA from 1 species
UACGGAGGGUGCAAGCGUUACCCGGAUUCACUGGGCGUAAAGGGUGUGUAGGCGGAUAUGUUAGUCUUUUGUUAAAGACUCAGGCUUACCCUGAGGAAUGCGAGGGAAAUGGCAUAUCUUGAGGAUGCAAGGGGCUUAUGGAACUCAUAGUGUAGGGGUGAAAUCCGUUGAUAUUAUGGGGAACACCGAAAGCGAAGGCAGUAAGCUGGUGCAUUCCUGACGCUGAGACACGAAAGCCAGGGUAGCGAACGGG